CCAAUAGCGUAUAUUAAAGUUGUUGCAGUUAAAAAGCUCGUAGUUGAAUUUCGGGAUCAAUUAAUUGGUCGUGCCUCUGGUACGUACUGAUUUUAUUGGUUUCUCCCUUCUGACGAACCAUGAUGUCAUUAAUUUGGUGUCGUGGAGAAUCAGGACUGUUACUUUGAAAAAAUUAGAGUGUUUAAAGCAAGCUAACGCUUGAAUACAUUAGCAUGGAAUAAUGAAAUAGGACGUUUGACCCUAUUUUGUUGGUUUCUAGGAUCGACGUAAUGAUUAAUAGGGAUAGUUGGGGGCAUUAGUAUUCAAUUGUCAGAGGUGAAAUUCUUGGAUUUAUUGAAGACUAACUACUGCGAAAGCAUUUGCCAAGGAUGUUUUCAUUAAUCAAGAACGAAAGUUAGGGGAUCGAAGACGAUCAGAUACCGUCGUAGUCUUAACCAUAAACUAUGCCGACUAGGGAUCGGAUGAUGUUAAUUUUUUAAUGACUCAUUCGGCGCCUUACG
rnacentral:rRNA from 1 species